GACGAACGCUGGCGGCGUGCUUAACACAUGCAAGUCGAACGGAAAGGCCCUGCUUUUGUGGGGUGCUCGAGUGGCGAACGGGUGAGUAACACGUGAGUAACCUGCCCUUGACUUUGGGAUAACUUCAGGAAACUGGGGCUAAUACCGGAUAGGAGCUCCUGCUGCAUGGUGGGGGUUGGAAAGUUUCGGCGGUUGGGGAUGGACUCGCGGCUUAUCAGCUUGUUGGUGGGGUAGUGGCUUACCAAGGCUUUGACGGGUAGCCGGCCUGAGAGGGUGACCGGCCACAUUGGGACUGAGAUACGGCCCAGACUCCUACGGGAGGCAGCAGUGGGGAAUAUUGCACAAUGGGCGGAAUCCUGAUGCAGCAACGCCGCGUGCGGGAUGACGGCCUCCGGGUUGUAAACCGCUUUCGCCUGUGACGAAGCGUGAGUGACGGUAAUGGGUAAAGAAGCACCGGCUAACUACGUG
rnacentral:rRNA from 1 species